GAUGAACGCUAGCGAUAGGCUUAACACAUGCAAGUCGAGGGGCAGCAUGGUCUUAGCUUGCUAAGGCUGAUGGCGACCGGCGCACGGGUGCGUAACGCGUAUGCAACUUGCCUCACAGAGGGGGAUAACCCGUCGAAAGACGGACUAAUACCGCGUACACUCUAUGUUGGGCAUCCAAUGUAGAGGAAAUGAAAUUCGCUGUGAGAUAGGCAUGCGUCCCAUUAGCUAGUUGGUGAGGUAACGGCUCACCAAGGCGACGAUGGGUAGGGGAACUGAGAGGGUGACCCCCGACACUGGGACUGGGACACGGACCAGACUCCUACGGGAGGCAGCAGUGAGGAAUAUUGGUCAAUGGGCGAGAGCCUGAACCAGCCAAGUCGCGUGAAGGAUGACUGUCUUAUGGAUUGUAAACUUCUUUUAUACGGGAAUAACAAGAGUCACGUGUGGCUCCCUGCAUGUACCGUAUGAAUAAGCAUCGGCUAACUCCGUG
rnacentral:rRNA from 1 species